UACGUAGGGCGCAAGCGUUGUCCGGAAUUAUUGGGCGUAAAGAGCUCGUAGGCGGUCUGUCGCGUCGGAUGUGAAAGCCCGGGGCUUAACCCCGGGUCUGCAUUCGAUACGGGCAGACUAGAGUGUGGUAGGGGAGAUCGGAAUUCCUGGUGUAGCGGUGGAAUGCGCAGAUAUCAGGAGGAACACCGGUGGCGAAGGCGGAUCUCUGGGCCAUUACUGACGCUGAGGAGCGAAAGCGUGGGGAGCGAACAGG
rnacentral:rRNA from 1 species